UACGAAGGGUGCAAACGUUGCUCGGAAUCAUUGGGCGUAAAGCGCACGUAGGCGGCUUUGCAAGUCGGAUGUGAAACCCCGUGGCUCAACCAUGGACGUGCAUUCGAAACUGCAAAGCUUGAGUAUGGAAGAGGGUCGCGGAAUUCCCGGUGUAGAGGUGAAAUUCGUAGAUAUCGGGAGGAACACCAGUGGCGAAGGCGGCGACCUGGGCCAAUACUGACGCUGAGGUGCGAAAGCGUGGGGAGCAAACAGG
rnacentral:rRNA from 1 species